rnacentral:rRNA from 1 species
UACGUAGGGGGCAAGCGUUGUCCGGAAUCAUUGGGCGUAAAGCGCGUGUAGGCGGUUUCGCACGUCCGGUGUGAAAGCCCAGGGCUCAACCCUGGAAGUGCACUGGAUACGACGGAGCUGGAGUACUGAAGAGGAGAGCGGAAUUCCCGGUGUAGAGGUGAAAUUCGUAGAUAUCGGGAGGAACACCUGUGGCGAAGGCGCCUUGCUGGCCAAUUUCUGACGCUGAGGCGCGAAAGCGUGGGGAGCAAACAGG